rnacentral:rRNA from 1 species
CGUAGGGUGCGAGCGUUAAUCGGAAUUACUGGGCGUAAAGUGUGCGCAGGUGGCCGCGCAAGUCGAGUGUGAAAUCCCCGAGCUUAACUUGGGAAUUGCGCUCGAAACUACGUGGCUCGAGUGUGGCAGAGGAAGGUGGAAUUCCAGGUGUAGCGGUGAAAUGCGUAGAGAUCUGGAGGAACACCGAUGGCGAAGGCAGCCUUCUGGGCCAACACUGACGCUCAUGCACGAAAGCGUGGGGAGCAAACAGGAUUAGAUACCCUGGUAGUCCACGCCCUAAACGAUGAUGACUAGUUGUUGGGGGAGUUAAAUCCCUUAGUAACGCAGCUAACGCGUGAAGUCAUCCGCCUGGGGAGUACGGUCGCAAGAUUA